ACCUUCUGGUUUCCUUUCCCACUGGAUCUCAACACUGGUCUUGGUGGUCAUAAAGGACAAAGAGCAUGUUGAAGCUGGCCUAACAGCCUUGUAGACUGCUAUAAGCAUGAUGGCUAGAUUCAAAGAGGG
ensembl:snoRNA